rnacentral:rRNA from 1 species
GACGAACGCUGGCGGCGUGCCUAAUACAUGCAAGUCGAGCGAACGGACGAGAAGCUUGCUUCUCUGAUGUUAGCGGCGGACGGGUGAGUAACACGUGGAUAACCUACCUAUAAGACUGGGAUAACUUCGGGAAACCGGAGCUAAUACCGGAUAAUAUUUUGAACCGCAUGGUUCAAAAGUGAAAGACGGUCUUGCUGUCACUUAUAGAUGGAUCCGCGCUGCAUUAGCUAGUUGGUGAGGUAACGGCUCACCAAGGCGACGAUGCGUAGCCGACCUGAGAGGGUGAUCGGCCACAUUGGGACUGAGACACGGCCCAG